rnacentral:rRNA from 1 species
GUGUCAGCAGCCGCGGUAAUACAGAGGUCCCGAGCGUUGUUCGGAUUCACUGGGCGUAAAGGGUGCGUAGGUGGUGAGGUGUGUCGGAUGUGAAAUCUCGGAGCUCAACUCCGAAAUGGCAUUGGAAACUACCUUGCUGGAGGGUUGGAGGGGGGACUGGAAUACUUGGUGUAGCAGUGAAAUGCGUAGAUAUCAAGUGGAACACCGGUGGCGAAGGCGAGUCCCUGGACAAUUCCUGACACUGAGGCACGAAAGCUAGGGGAGCAAACAGGAUUAGAAACCCUUGUAGUCC